rnacentral:rRNA from 1 species
GGAUGAACGCUGGCGGCGUGCCUAAUACAUGCAAGUCGAGCGGAGUUAAUCGGGAGCUUGCUCCUGAUUAACUUAGCGGCGGACGGGUGAGUAACACGUAGGCAACCUGCCCGUAAGACCGGGAUAACUACCGGAAACGGUAGCUAAUACCGGAUAAUCAAGCUUCUCGCAUGAGAGGCUUGGGAAAGGCGGUUCUGAAUUUAUUCAGGGCUGUCACUUACGGAUGGGCCUGCGGCGCAUUAGCUAGUUGGUGGGGUAACGGCUCACCAAGGCGACGAUGCGUAGCCGACCUGAGAGGGUGAACGGCCACACUGGGACUGAGACACGGCCCAGACUCCUACGGGAGGCAGCAGUAGGGAAUCUUCCGCAAUGGACGAAAGUCUGACGGAGCAACGCCGCGUGAGUGAUGAAGGUUUUCGGAUCGUAAAGCUCUGUUGCCAGGGAAGAACGUCUUCUGGAGUAACUGCCAGGAGAGUGACGGUACCUGAGAAGAAAGCCCCGG